rnacentral:rRNA from 1 species
UACAGGGGGGGCAAGCGUUGUUCGGAAUUACUGGGCGUAAAGGGUCUGUAGGUGGCCAACUAAGUCAGACGUGAAAUCCCUCAGCUUAACCGGGGAACUGCGUCUGAUACUGGAUGGCUUGAGUUCGGGAGAGGGAUGCGGAAUUCCAGGUGUAGCGGUGAAAUGCGUAGAUAUUGGGAAGAACACCGGUGGCGAAGGCGGCGAGCUGGCCUGUUACUGACGCUGAGGCGCGAAAGCUAGGGGAGCAAACGGG